rnacentral:rRNA from 1 species
CGCCUGUUUAUCAAAAACAUCUCUUCUCGUUAGUUUUUGAAGUAUGGCCUGCCCACUGACCUUGAAUGUUGAAGGGCCGCGGUAUUUUGACCGUGCAAAGGUAGCAUAGUCAUUAGUUCUUUAAUUGUGAUCUGGUAUGAAUGGCUUGACGAGGCAUAAGCUGUCUUAAUUUUGAAUUGUUUAUUGAAUUUGGUCUUUGAGUUAAAAUUCUUAGAUGUUUUUAUGGGACGAGAAGACCCUAUAGAGUUUGACAUUUAUUUACGGUCUCUUUCUGUUUGUGAGGGUUCACUAGGGCUGUUUAAUAUGUUUUGUUGGGGUGAUGGGAGGGAUAUUAUUUAACCCCUCCUUUGUGUUGUUAUAUUUAUUUAUAUUUGCUUGAUCCAUUUAUUUUGAUUGUAAGAUUAAAUUACCUUAGGGAUAACAGCGUAA